CCUACGGGGGGCUGCAGUAAGGAAUAUUGGACAAUGGGCGGAAGCCUGAUCCAGCCAUGCCGCGUGAAGGAUGAAGGCGCUCAGCGUUGUAAACUUCUUUUGGAUGGGGACAAUAACCUCCAUUUAUGGGGGCUUGAGGGUACCAUCAGAAUAAGCACCGGCUAACUCCGUGCCAGCAGCCGCGGUAAUACGGAGGGUGCAAGCGUUAUCCGGAAUCACUGGGUUUAAAGGGUGCGUAGGCUGUUAGAUAAGUCAGUUGUGAAAUUCCCCGGCUUAACCGGGUGGACUGCGAUUGAUACUGUUUAACUUGAAUGAGGUUGAGGUAGGCGGAAUGUGGCAUGUAGCGGUGAAAUGCUUAGAUAUGCCAUAGAACACCGAUUGCGAAGGCAGCUUGCUGGGCCUUCAUUGACGCUGAGGCACGAAAGCGUGGGGAGCAAACAGGAUUAGAUACCCGUGUAGUC
rnacentral:rRNA from 1 species